rnacentral:rRNA from 1 species
UACGUAGGGACCAAGCGUUGUUCGGAUUUACUGGGCGUAAAGGGCGCGUAGGCGGCAAUUCAAGUCAUCUGUGAAAUCUCCGGGCUUAACCCGGAACGGUCAGAUGAUACUGCUUUGCUAGAGUGCGGAAGGGGCAAUCGGAAUUCUUGGUGUAGCGGUGAAAUGCGUAGAUAUCAAGAGGAACACCUGAGGUGAAGACGGGUUGCUGGGCCGACACUGACGCUGAUAGCGCGAAAGCCAGGGGAGCAAGCGGG